AAACUAUUCCCUCUGUUCCGAAAAGGAUGUCUGAAAUUUGUUUAAAUUUGAAUGUACCUAGACACUAAAACAUGUCUAGAUAUAUUUUGAAAAAUUUGAGACAUCAUUUUUAGGACGGAAGGAAUAGAAG
rfam:Brachypodium distachyon strain Bd21 chromosome 3, whole genome shotgun sequence.